GCCAGUGUAGCUCAGUUGGCUAGAGCGCUUGUUAAUGCUGAACAGGUCCUAGGUUCGAUUCACGUUGGUG